AUUGAACGCUGGCGGCAGGCCUAACACAUGCAAGUCGAACGGUAACAGGAAGAAGCUUGCUUCUUUGCUGACGAGUGGCGGACGGGUGAGUAAUGUCUGGGAAACUGCCUGAUGGAGGGGGAUAACUACUGGAAACGGUAGCUAAUACCGCAUAACGUCGCAAGACCAAAGAGGGGACCUUCGGGCCUCUUGCCAUCGGAUGUGCCCAGAUGGGAUUAGCUAGUAGGUGGGGUAACGGCUCACCUAGGCGACGAUCCCUAGCUGGUCUGAGAGGAUGACCAGCCACACUGGAACUGAGACACGGUCCAGACUCCUACGGAGGCAGCAGUGGGAAUAUUGCACAAUGGGCGCAAGCCUGAUGCAGCCAUGACCGCGUGUA
rnacentral:rRNA from 1 species